GGGACAUCAUCACCGGUGAAACAGCGUUAGACUUGACACUUUAUCAAACCAGUCCGCUUGGUGAUUGUUGGGAGAGAGUGAGGAGGCAUCACCAUGUCCACAUCUGACUCAGCUGUCUGGGUUGGGAGAGGGUCCCCUGCUGCCCAGUGCGGAUGCAUCUGUGAGGGUGAUGGACCCAAGGAGGAUUCUGCAAUGAGCCUGGCAAUCAGGAGGCCCCCUCAGCUUCAGGACACCUAAAUCCCUGAAGAUUCCAGUACCCACUGUGUCUCCUGUGCCACCCGCACUCCCAGUGGGAGACACUUUGAAAUCAUUAUAGGACCUUGUAUUUGGAUGCUUGCCUCUUCAAGCUAUAAGGACCUUACAGUGAAGAUGGGAAACAUAUUUUUAUAUUCGGAUUGCCUAAGUGCAGUGGUCCUUCCAGUUCAAGACAUCAUUUGGCAUAGGGAUUUUAAUGCGAGCCUUAUCACUAACGACGUUGCCCUUCUUCAGCUGGCCGACUCUGUGAAUUAUUCUUCGUACAUCCAGCCAGUGUGCCUCCCUGAAAAGAAGUUUGAAGUGAAAGCUGGGACACAGUGUUGGGCGACUGGAUGGGGCCAAACUUUAGAAUUCGCCACAUCACUGCCACAUGUUCUUCAGGAGACUGAGCAAAUCAUUCUUCACCACAAGAAAUGUAAUCAGAAGAUACAGACACAGUUAGGAGUCCAUCGCCAAGUAGUUGGAAGAAGGAUGAUCUGUGGCUAUCACGAAAAGAUUAAAAGUCCCUGCAAGAAACCUGGGCCUGGUGGGUACCUAGGAAAGGACCUAGGUGCCUAUCUCCCUAGUGCCUUGCUAGCAAUCAGCCUGCUCUGAUGAUGAUCCCCUUCCAUUCCUGCAUUUGUUCCUUCUUUUUCUCCAGGGAGAUUCUGGAGGUCCCCUGGUCUGUCACUUUACUGACUCAUGGGUCCAGGCGGGGAUUGUGAGCUGGGGUGUUCACUGUGGUCACACAGAACUGCCUGCAGU